GUCAUUCGUCUUUUUUUUUUUUGCUUUUUAGGGCUGCACCUAUGGCAUAUGGAGGUUCCCAGGCAAGGGGUCGAAUCAGAGCUGUAGCCACUGGCCUACACCACAGCCACAGCAAUGCCAGAUCUGAGCCGCAUUUGCAAACUACGCCACAGCUCACAGCAACACCGGAUCUAAUCAACUUCAAUUUAUGUAGUUGUGAUUUAAUUACACAUUUCAUUUUAAUAAAGUUGUAAAAUUGAACAGUUUCUGUUUUUGUGGGUUCUUUGGCUUAUCUUGCAAACACAGUGAACACUCAUAACACCUGAAAUAAAAACCCUGAACAUGAGAAUGCGAAGGGAAUGAGGUAUGAAAGGUGUUACCUUUAUAGGAAAAGCUUAUCUCAGUUCAGCCAAAAUCCAGCAACUUCCUUGUAUCAUCAGAAAUUAAACAUGGUGUCCUGAUCUGUAAUUGAAGCAUUUUCACAAGAAAGAAGAUGGGGGAAAGGAGAAAUAAUAUUUGUUAAACCUUGACAUUAUUUCAGGCCCCAGUGGGUGUUUGGGUGUUUAUCAUUAUUAAAUUCUCGCAAUACUCAAUAGGUAGAUUUGUCUCCAUUUUAUGUAUAAUGAAACUGAGGUUUAGAAAUUAAGAAAAAAAUCUUGCCCAAGGUUACGUUACUAAGGGGCAGAACUAGGGUUUGAAUAUAUUCUGCAGAUCCAUGCAUCAUGUUUUGCCAUUACUAAUACCAUUCAAUCUGUAAAUGCCUACUAGUUAAAACAUUUUGAGGUCCUAAAAUUGGAUAAACUUUGUUUAAGUAGGAGUUAUAAGAAAAAGUAGUGUUGUAUUGAUAAAAGUGGUAACCAAAAAACCCAGAAUCUUAUGUUGAUACUCAGAUUUUAGGUCACAGCAGUUAUUCUGCUCCUUCUGCAGGUAAUUCAGUUUUUAUUUGCAUAGUAUGGUGACCCAAACAUGGGGCCCAUUUUAGCUCUGAACUUGGGGGCAAUCAGUGAUGAAUCAUAUCUUUUACUUACAAAAUCCUGACUGGAAAAGUGAAAACUUAGAACCUUAGUUAAACAUGAUGUGCUGCAGCUCAAGUUGAUCUCUUGCUUGGAAUGUUGUCAGUGUCAUAAGCAUACUAAUCAUAGUAUAGAUUUUUGGGAAAAAUACUAAUUUACAAAUUUGUGGUUCACAUUAAAGAGGCCAUUCUUUUUGAAAGAGGCCAUACUGUGGGUUGAAUAUAAGGCCAGUAAGAUAACAUGUCAAAGGGAUUUUUCCCUUCUUGACUUUCUGAGAAAGCUUAGCCCUGAGGCACAACAGUAAUAAAAGCUCAUGAAACACCUUGUGGAUUUUUUUAGUUCGCUGAGGCUGACCUACAGCUCUUGAGUGUUAAGUUGCUCUCUGAACAGUCUGAGGCAGUGCGUGAGUUCUUCAUGCCAGGCUGCCAGGACUAACUUGAAUUUUCCUCCUCCCCCGAUGAGAACCAGCCUUCUCACUACUUAUUAGUGGUAAGCCUAAAUUGGGGAGAUAAAGAAUUUCAAAAUCUUGUGGUAAAUGUAAUGUGGAAGAGACUUUCAAAAUUUGUUAUGUAGACUAAAUAUUUCAAACAUAACUAUUGAGACUUCUAUGUAUGAAAAUCAUCCAUCCUUAAAAGCUGCUUAUAGUGGAUUUCUGAUUUUUAUUGUAAGUUUUUUAAAAAGAUAAUCUAUUUAUCUGGUUUCUUGGUUAAGUUUUUCAGAAUUUGUAUUCAGCUCUCCUUAGAGAAUAUUUUACUGUGUUAGAGCCAUCCCUAACAGUGAAUUUUUAGUAAUAAUUUUUGAAGCUCUGAGCAUCUCCCCUGAAUUAAAAAAAAAAAAAA
ensembl:lncRNA